rnacentral:misc_RNA from 1 species
AUAAUUACUGAUUUCCACGACGUAGUCGGAAAGUAGUACUCCAAUUCCCACUAAUCAAUUUGGAACCUGAAUUUUCUGUUCGUUUCCAUGUAAAUUCAUGGAUUCAAACUCAAUUUCUCUUUCAUUUGGACCGUAAUUUAGUGUUUUAGAUACAAUUGUAUUAGAAAUGGCAGCUCUAGCUGCUACAAUUCCUCCGUGGAUCCCUGAAGACGACCUCUUAUUGAAGAACGCCGUUGAGGCAGGUGCUUCUUUGGAAGCACUUGCUAAAGGAGCGGUGAGAUUCUCGCGAAAAUUUACAGUCUCAGAAUUGCGUGAGAGGUGGUAUUCUCUCCUCUAUGACCCUGUUGUUUCAGAUGAAGCUUCUGCUCGCAUGUUGGAAUUUGAACUUUCUACCCCCAGUUCUAGAGUCAGCGUAGAGGUUUCUGCUAAGAGAAAGCGUGAAAGUGUUCGGCGAAUGUACUAUGCUAUGAAGAAGAAAACUAGUGCCCGACCUGGUAAAUCUACAAGUUUUUUUGAUGCACCAAAGGCUAGUUGUGGAGACAACAUGCCAUUUGAUAGUCCUGCACAAGGUGGAAGUUGCAUAUUUGGAGAACUUAAUCAAAACCAUUUUGGGUUUGUUGGGAAGGAAUGCUAUAAUGAACUCUGUUUGGAGGUUCCCUCUUUUGAGCAAGAUAAUGCAGGCAAAAAUAUUCCUAGUAAUGCGAGAGACAGAUUAGUUGACUUUCUGAGUGGUGACGGAGUUAAGGAAAUGGCAUUGGCACAUCCUUUGCCAGAAAGUAGUCCUUCAUUUCAUACCGAGGGACUUUCCUCUCCGCUAGCAAUAUGGGAAACGAUAGAGGACAUUUCUGCUCCUGCAAUGCCUAUUAGUGUAAGCAUUGAAGAUAAAGGUCAGCAAGAAGCAUUGAUGCAUCGUGAUGGUGUGGAAUUGGAUAGUAAUAAAAUGAGUUUAUCAGGAAUGAAUGUUGUCCAUUCGGGGGCAAUGUUGCAAGAUAAACAUGAUGUUGAUGUACUUAAUAAUUCAAAUGCAAUCUCGGAAUGUGAUUAUGUGGACCUUUCAGAGUCACUUUUGAACUUUGCGAAUGAAGAUGAGCCAGUUUUAGUGGAUGCAGAUGGGAAAGACACUAUAGAUAAAUUUUGUUAUGAUGGCGCUUUGUUGAAUUCUCCUAAUGGAACUCAGGGUAGAGCACCAGAUGUUAAAGAAUCACAGACAAUAGUUUCAGAUAAAAGCCUUGGAAUUCCUGCCAAUGAAUGCCCUGAAGAAUUAGAGUCUAUUGCUGAGGGGUCACUUUCUAGUAAUGUUGAGCAGCAUGGUCAUUUGUGUUCAGAAAUCAAUUUACCAUCAUCCAUAUCAGCAGCAAAUACAUGGUCUGCAGAGAACUGUGAUGGAGAGAUGGAGUGUACAUUAAACAGUGAAGACACUGAAAUCCCUUCUAAUGAUGAUAUUUUUUUUCCUAGACAAUUUGCUUCGUCCUUGAUGAGAACAAAAUCUAAGGAGGCUUGUUUCCCAUCUUUUUCGUAUGCUAAACAAGAGCAAAGCUUGAUGAAGAAAGAAGCAAAUCCUGCACAAUCUCGAAUUGCUUCCCAGAUGACAAGGCUGGACAUGUUGCCAGUAACCAGCCCAGGUAGCCAACUCGUUGGCUGUGGAGUAAAAUGCGAAUCUCCUUAUGAUGUGGCCUCCAGACAGGCUAGCAAAGCUCCUGAAGACGCCAAUCAAUGCAGAACAGCCCAGGGUACUCUAGUUUCUGACCCAGUUGGAUUACUAAAGGCAGAGGCAUCAAAUGCAUGUAACGCCAUGGGUUUGCCAUUUUAUGCAAAACCAUGCUCCCCUAAACAAGUUACUUCAGUACCAGAAGCUGAACCCGUAACGAUAGAUGAGGAAGAAUACGAGAGUGACAAUGAUAUUCCAUCCUAUUCUGAGAUAGAAGCCAUGAUACUUGAUAUGGACUUGUGCCCAGAUGAUACAGAUUCUUAUAUUGAUAGUGAAGUCUCAAGGUAUCAAAAUGAGGAUACCAGAAGGAUAAUUAUAAGAUUGGAACAGUGUGCUCAAUCAUCCAUACAAAGAGCCAUUGCAUCUCGGGGUGCACUUGCUGUCUUGUAUGGGCGCCAUUUGAAGCAUUAUAUAAGGAAAACUGAGGUCAUACUUGGCAGAGCAACAAAUGAUAUGGAAGUCGAUAUUGACUUGGGAAGAGAAGGACCUGCCAACAAAAUAUCAAGACGGCAGGUGGCAUUUGUUUCAGCGUCUUCUGAUGGAAUUGUUAUUCAGAUUUGCAUUUAAAGUUGGUUGAGCAGAUCAAUUUUAUUUCCUUUUUCUUUUGUUUAAUGUUAGAUGAAAAUUUUCUCUUUAAUUUUUUAAUGGAGACUCCAAGGAGUUGCACUUUCUGACGUAUUGUCAUUGUCUAUGAUCAUGUUACUGUAAAACUGAUGCAGACAUAAGGAAUUAGAAAUAAUAUAAAGAGCUUAAGAAAGAAGAAGGAACUAAGGGUGAAAAAAGUACUUAUUGGGGUUUUUGUUUUGCCCCCUUUACGGAUUGAAUUUGAAUAUUCUAGGAUUGUUGAGUUCAACCCAAGGCCCUGACAUUGUUUCCUCACUUUUGUCUGUAGUUCAGAGUAAACUUUUCUGUGUAACUAUAUAAACCGCUCUACAUAAGAUUGUUCCAUUCAGAUUCUACUAUGUCACAUUAACACUCCACCCAUGUCAAUCAAAUACCCAUUUUUAGUUUAUUGACAUCCUGCAUGGCCUCUAAUUUUAUGGAAUAGUGACUGGUUGUUGCCUGUGUUGCUAGGCACUUGUAAAGAUGGAAGCAGAUGGUUCCUUCUUCUUGAAGAAUCUGGGUAAGAUUCUUGUAUCUUUGAAUGGCAAAGAAGUUGCUACUGGACAGAGUAUGAGUCUUGGUUCAAAUAGUUUGAUUGAGGUAUGUACUUUCCAAUAAUCUUCCUGUUUGAUAAGCUUUAAACUGUUUUAGAUUGGUUUUGCUGUCUUCUAUCUUAUUUAUGCUCUUCCUUUGUGAUAAUUAUAUUGCUUGCACUGAUUUGUUGUGCUGUAACUAGAGAAUUAAUAUUAUCGCCAGUAUUGAAUCUGCAGAUUGGGGGAAUGGCAUUUGUGUUUGAAAUUAAUAGAAAAUCUGUGGGGCGGCACCUGGCAAAUGCCACCAAAAUCCGCAAACAAAACAAAUACCAAAUUUGAAUGGUCAUAAGGGAUUUCAUAAAUAGAGGAAAUCCGUCAACUGUUUCCUUUAUCUCCUAUGUUAACCAUCUUAGAUGAACAAAAAUCAGUGUUGUUAGUAGUGUACGCUUGAGUUGGAUGCACACUGUCGAACUGUAUAUGUAUAUAUAUAUAAAUAUAAUACAGAACUUCUCAUUUCUUAGACAGUAAUCAUGUUUAUGGCAAUACAUAUUAUGUAUAUGAAAUAUAGUUGGCCAUUCAUCCCAUUUUAUAAAGAGAGGAAGAAUAAAUAUAAGUAGCAAGGAAGGAUAUAGCUGAUCAUAUCUAGUGACAAUUGGUUUAAUACAGUAAUUUUAUUUUCCCA